rnacentral:rRNA from 1 species
AUGAGGACCCUGCCGCAAACGGGCCGCCCCACGUCGCAGCAGAUCCGGAGUUGCGGCAAGCAAGCUAGCAGACGCCGGAUCGGAACCCCCAUCAACUGUGUAACACAUCGAGGCCCCAAGCCCCCGAGCCAAGCAACCCCCCUCCCCUCGUUCCAUUCCCCUCCUCGCUCGAUUCGGCAGCGCCUCCUCCUCUGUUCUGAAUCCUCUGUUCGAUCCCUAACCCUAACCCUAAGGCGACUGCGCCGUUGCCCGCGGCCUCUCCCUUCACCAACGGCGCCGUUGCCCGCGUCCUCUCCCUUCACCGACGGCGCCAUCUCGUCCGAGUCUGAGCUGGAGGAGCACGUGUACAUCAGGGAGGAAGCAGGGCCAGCACGCCGUGGGGAGGCAGCAAGGCCAGCACGCCGUCGGUCCGUCCUUCCCUGGUUCCUCACCGAGCGCCACGAAGAGGAAGAGAUAAUGGUGAAGGAGAAGGGGAAUGAGAAGGGAAAGGGUGCUGGUAAGGAGAAUGCGAAGGCGAAGGCAAAGGACAAAAGCGUGAAUUACCUAAUUAGGCAAGAUUCGGCGUUGCCUCCGCCGGUUCCGAGGAAGAAGAGGAAGCCUAAGGUUAAAAAAAACCCUCCACCUCCGAGGCGUCUCCCUGACCGCACCAGUGCCGGCGUGCGUGCCGUGGAAGCCGCUGCCUCUACUAUUGUGGUAGAUGACGAGGAGAAGGAGGAUGAGGACGAGGAGGAGGAUGAGGACAAGGACGUGGACAUGGAUGAGGACAAGGACAAGAACAAGGACGAUGAGGAAUAUGAGGAGCAAAAUCUGUUUAUAGUCCCGCCACAACCGAGUGUUGAUAUGUCGGAUGAUGAUACAUCAGAAGGGCAUAAGGAAUCAGCUGAUGAACUAGAAGGUGACACUAUGUUCGAGGAAUCACUUGUGCAUGUUGUAUCUAGUGAGGAGGAGGCAAGAGAAAGGAAAAAGAACAAGAGGCCAAGAGCCAAUGCUCCUGUUAGGAUGUCAUCGGAUGUUUGGGCCCAUUUUCACAAGGUCAAAGAGCCAUCGACGGAGCAUCCGGGAGAGAUUGUGUUGAAGGCUGUUUGUAAUUAUUGUCCCAAAAAGAGCCCACGCGUCUUUCCAAACAAUGGGAGUCAAGAGCAUUCUAACAGUAGCCCAAAAAAAACUCUCACAAGAGAAUUUUCUGCUUUUCCAGCAGACCAAAAAUUGCUGACCUAUAAGUUUCAGCUUGGGUACUCUCAAGGGCAGGCUGGGAAGCAGAUCCGGCGAUCGUUGGGGCACGGAGCUCAGUUCGGCUGGAGUAGCUUGUUGGGGGACGAGACGAUCAUCAGGCCGCCUAGGAAUGCGGCCGACGGCGGUGUCGCGGCGACAAUUUCGGCCGCCGAAAAGGGGGAGGCAGUUGAUUUGACUGUAGUCGACUACGGUCUUCCGAGCUUCCGCGACCACAGAGGGGUCGCAGAAGGUGUCUCAGCCGAUGGAACAUGCAGUGAGGUGGGGAGGUUUGGCGGCGGUGAAGUUUCAGUUUCAAGUUUGGUGCUUGGUUUUGGUUUUUGGGAAAGCUGCUAG